rnacentral:rRNA from 1 species
GUUGUAUAGUCAAGUAAUUAAGUGCAUGUGGUGGAUGCCUUGGCAGUCAGAGGCGAUGAAAGACGUGAUAGCCUGCGAAAAGCUCCGGGGAGGCGGCAAAUAUCCUUUGAUCCGGAGAUUUCUGAAUGGGGGAACCCACCUACUUUAAGGUAGGUAUUGCAACAUGAAUACAUAGUGUUGCAAGGCGAACGAGGGGAAGUGAAACAUCUCAGUACCCUUAGGAAAAGAAAUCAAUUGAGAUUCCC